AACAUAGCCUUUAGCCUACCAAGUAUUAAAGGUUUCACCUGCCCAGUGAUCUAUUAAACGGCCGCGGUAUCCUAACCGUGCAAAGGUAGCAUAAUCACUUGUCUCCUAAAUAGAGACUAGAAUGAACGGUUAUAUGAGGACUUUACUGUCUCUUGCAUCCAACCAAUAAACCUGAUCUUUCAGUCCAAAAGCUGAAAUAAACACAUAAGACGAGAAGACCCUGUGGAGCUUCAAAACCAAGCCCACACCACAUGUCUACCUUGGUUUUUAGUUGGGGCAACUUUGGAGUAUAAGCCACCCUCCAAUUACGGAACCACAAUUUUAGAUGCACAUAUCAAAAUUUUAUCCUGACCCAGUAGUUACCUAACCAGACUAUCUGAACUAUGAACCAAGUUACCCCAGGGAUAACAGCGCCAUCCUCUUCUAGAGUUCCUAUCGACAAGAGGGUUUACGACCUCGAUGUUGGAUCAGGACACCCCUAUAGUGCAACCGCUAUAAAAGGUUCGUUUGUUCAACGAUUAAAGUCCUACGUGAU
rnacentral:rRNA from 1 species